rnacentral:lncRNA from 1 species
AGAGUUCUGGCAGAUUCGGUGACAGCCUUAUGCUCCGAAUAUUCUAACCUACCCGACAGGAUGUGAUUCCAAAUGUGAUUGGUACAGCAGUUUGCACCUUUAGAGUAACAAUGAACACUCUCAUCUCUUUCAUCUGAAACAGCGCUAAUGAUUUCCUAGUCUAUAUACAGCUAGAUCCGGAAUAACCCUGGCUGAUGUCUAGUAAUAGUCGUAAUAAUUCAUUCUUGACUGCGGCACAUUAUUCAUGAAUAUUCAAGAUUAACAUAAGGUGUCAACUACUACCAAUACCUCAAUGGCUACGUCUAUCCUGAUGGAGACAUUGGCUGUGCAAUCUGCGGUUAUGGCGGUGGUGGCUACGAAACCUCCGAUUGGAACAGGAACUACAGCUACUACACCAACAGCACCACGCAACAUUUAUAGUAUGCUUGAGUCAGACAACUCUUCUGAUGGUCUCUGCAUAGGCGCAUCUCCACGAAUGGAAUCAAGUAUUCUACCGCCCUUCCAUUGUCCAAUCACAUAUCUGAUGAGUAUUUCACCUUGCUGAAAGUAAAAAUCUCUGUCGCUCGGUCCUGAUGGGUUGUAUGCUUGCGCUUCUUGUCCGAGGUACCAGCCUCCCCUCAGACAAAUCCAAACAUAGCGAUAAAUGAUACACUUGGUUGCAAAACCAGUGCGCGCUUCGACUCACAUUGAUUGUUUAACUUGUUAUCAGCCUAACCUAUAUCCGGGAAAGCUUCGGAUUAACCAUAUUUCGAAAGUUUCACUGUUUCGUAUCUUACCGUAAGCAUAGUAUGACGUCGCUUGAAAUCCUAAUACGUAGAAAAUAGCCCAUGGCACGUGCUAUUAUCGCAAGUUGUCACAAAUACGUACUACGGGGCUGCAUGCUGUGACACCAUAGAUAGGCUAGCGGAUAUGGCUGAUAACCUGCUCAUUUUUGGCGGCCACAGGAUUCGAAUCGACUGCGUACGAGGCUGAAAGGGAAUCAGCCUUACCCCUGCCUUUGUGGAGUGAGCCCGUUGAUGACGUGGCAUUGCUAAGUUGACUACAUAGUAGACGUGGUGCACAGGUUUUGCCCCACAUAGGAGGUUUCUAUAAAUUGAGAGAUUCCUAUGGGCGAUGACAUUGUUUAUUUAAUGUUUCUGAAGGAGCUUUUGCUUACAGUCAUUCUAAAAAUCGGACUGACUCAAGUUACUCCCCCCACGUUAGCAAACUCCUGAAACAUUACCCUUUCUUUGUUUGGCUGAAUUGAGAGGUGAUCAAUCAUAUCCAUUUGCUCAUCCAGGACAGAGGACGAAGUAGGACUCCAAACAAGAAAGACUUUGUAUUUUUAGGCAAGAUGUCUCAAACGUUCGUGGCGAAAGGAGAGGAAGCGACGUUGAGUGGAUUGCCGUGCUCUUACGAGGAAUGUAACGCUCGGUUCGUGGGCCAGUCGGCACCAGAGUUAUUGUGGCAGCAUCGGUGCGUUAAGCACAGUGUGCCUUUUUCGCAGGUGAAGGCGGAGAUGGCGCGUGACAGAGGCCGUUUCGGACAUCACCUUGAGGUGUUCAAAUGUUGUGGAAAGUUUUAUGAGCAUCGUCAGAUUGCGGAGGUGUCGAAGCAUUGGCGAGAGUGUCAUGAAACUAAUAUAGAAGGCUGUGAAAUGUCGGGGUAAUUUUUUUUUCUCGCAAGUGGAGAUGGUGAGCACAGGUGAUGGGGGUGCAGGACAGAUUGACAAGAAGUGAGGUGUUUUACACUAGGUAGCCAAUAGAAUGUACCGUAACAUGCAGCCCGGGUGAUUUCCCUAGUACUGUACUGAGAUCUCCUGGAAACGCGGAAAUCGAAAAGUAGUAACUUAGUAGCACUAUCGUCACGUAGCCACUUGGAUCAGUCGGAGAAUUUCCCGCUAGUGUACUAUGUAAUGUCGGAUGCCAGGAUAAGCUAAGCCUAAUCUAGCAACAUACGAAUCUUGCCACACGGCCAUAUUAAACAAAUACUGUCAACAAAGCAACGCAAUACGAGCACCAAUUUGCCCCAAAG